UACGAAGGGUGCAAACGUUGCUCGGAAUUAUUGGGCGUAAAGCGCACGUAGGCGGCUUUGCAAGUCGGAUGUGAAAUCCCUCGGCUUAACCAAGGAAGUGCAUCCGAAACUGCAGAGCUUGAGUACUUAAGAGGAUCGCGGAAUUCCCGGUGUAGAGGUGAAAUUCGUAGAUAUCGGGAGGAACACCAGUGGCGAAGGCGGCGAUCUGGGAAGAUACUGACGCUGAGGUGCGAAAGCGUGGGGGGCAAACAGG
rnacentral:rRNA from 1 species